GAUGAACGCUGGCGGCGUGCCUAAUACAUGCAAGUCGAGCGAACAAACGCGGAGCUUGCUCCUCUGACGUUAGCGACGGACGGGUGAGUAACACGUGGCUAACCUACCUAUAAGACUGGGGUCACUUCAGGAAACCGGAUCUAAUACAGGAUAAUAUAUUGAAACGCAUGGUUCAAUAGUGAACGAAGGUUUUGCUGUAACUUAUAGAUGGAACCCGGCCGCAGUAGAUAGUUGGUAAGGGAAAGGCUAACCAAGGCAACGAUGAGUAGCCGACCGGAGAGGCUGAUCUGCCACCCUGGAACUGAGACACGGUCCACACACCUAGGGGAGGCAGCAGUCGGGAACCUUGGACAAUGGGCGAAAGCCUGACAGAGCAACGCCGCGUGAGUGAUGAAGGUCUUCGGAUCGUAAAACACUGUAACUAGGGAAGAAGAGAUGUGGAAGUAUGUAUGCAUGUUUUGACGGUACCUAAACAGAAAGCCACGGCUAACUACGUG
rnacentral:rRNA from 1 species